rnacentral:rRNA from 1 species
UUGGGAAUCUUGGACAAUGGGCGAAAGCCUGAUCCAGCCAUGCCGCGUGAGUGAUGAAGGCCUUAGGGUUGUAAAGCUCUUUUACCCGGGAAGAUAAUGACGGUACCGGGAGAAUAAGCUCCGGCUAACUUCGUGCCAGCAGCCGCGGUAAUACGAAGGGGGCUAGCGUUGUUCGGAAUUACUGGGCGUAAAGCGUGCGCAGGCGGCCUUACAAGUCAGGGGUGAAAGCCCAGAGCUCAACUCUGGAAUUGCCUUUGAAACUGUUUGGCUUGAGUGCGGGAGAGGUGAGUGGAAUUCCCAGUGUAGAGGUGAAAUUCGUAGAUAUUGGGAAGAACACCGGUGGCGAAGGCGGCUCACUGGCCCGUUUCUGACGCUCAUGCACGAUAGCGUGGGGAUCAAACA